GACGAACGCUGGCGGCGUGCUUAACACAUGCAAGUCGAACGAAGUGGCGAACGGGUGAGUAACGCGUAAUCAACCUGCCCUUCAGAGGGGGACAACAGUUGGAAACGACCGCUAAUACCGCAUACUGAAGGAGGGGAGUGCGUCUGGUUAGCUAGUUGGAGGGGUAACGGCCCACCAAGGCGAUGAUCAGUAGCUGGUCGUCGAGGAUGAACGGCCACCUUGGGACUGAGACAAGGCCCAGACUCCGACGGGAGGCAGCAGUGGGGAAGCUUCCGCAAUGGACGAAAGUCUGACGGAGCAACGCCGCGUGAGUGAAGAGGGUUUUCGGAUCGUAAAACUCUGUUGUUAGAGAAGCGGUAUCUAACCAGAAAGCCACGGCUAACUACGUGCCAGCAGCCGCGGUAAUUC
rnacentral:rRNA from 1 species